CUUUAACUGUCCCUAGGGUUAAACCAUUUGACCAAUUGUUCACAUGGACAGUAAUAAGGUGCCCACGUCAAAGACCAGAUUUAGUGGACUGUGGAUAUUGCGUGAUGAGAUUCAUUAGGGACAUCAUCACUCACGCCAAGACUUCAAUCCCUACCAAGUAUUAUGAUGAUGCUUAUUGUGAAGAAUUUGGGGAUGCUCACAUCAAUGAAGUGGUGGAAGAGUGGUGCCAACAUAUAUUUCAACUUUGGAUCAUGCAAAAUUCACACAUUUUG